rnacentral:lncRNA from 1 species
UAGUUUCCAUCCUCUGUAAUGUAUAAACCUAAGGAAAUUGAUAUGGUGGUUUCUUACUAUUAAAGUAGUUAUACAAUAUCUUUUGCAAAGAGAAAAGCUUUAAGCAGUUAGAUAAGAAAGUUUGGAUUAGCAAGUUUUAGUGGAUCAAGAAAAUAUUACAACUAAGAAGAGAAGUUGAUUGGAGUGUGAAUGAGUGAGUAUGAUAAAGCCAAGUCA